UACGUAGGCAGCAAGCGUUGUUCGGAGUUACUGGGCGUAAAGGGUGCGUAGGCGGUUGUUUAAGUUUGGUGUGAAAAUCCUCCCGGCUCAACUGGGAGGGUGCGCCGAAUACUGAAUGACUAGAGUGCGGGAGAGGAGAGUGGAAUUCCUGGUGUAGCGGUGAAAUGCGUAGAUAUCAGGAGGAACACCGGUGGUGUAGACGGCUCUCUGGACCGUAGCUGACGCUGAGACACGAAAGCGUGGGUAGCAAACAGG
rnacentral:rRNA from 1 species